GCUACACUCCUAUCUUCUGGAACCAAUAAUCUGGUUAUAAUUGUGUUCGAAUUAGGCUUGUAUCUUUCGUGUGAGUAGAUGUCUUCGUAUCAUUAGGUCGAAUUAGGUGGUUUAAUGGGACGAUUUCAUUCCGUGUUGUGGGAUGAUUUACGUUCGUUUGGGGUUUAAAAUGCAAUGGGAUUAAGUCGGGUAGCGUUGGAUCCUCUAUAGUGAUUCAGGGUGAUACUAGAUCCCCAUUUGCA
rnacentral:lncRNA from 1 species